UACGGAGGGUGCGAGCGUUGUCCGGAAUUAUUGGGCGUAAAGAGCUCGUAGGUGGCCUGUCGCGUCGGCUGUGAAAACUCGGGGCUCAACUCCGAGCUUGCAGUCGAUACGGGCAGGCUAGAGUUCGGCAGGGGAGACUGGAAUUCCUGGUGUAGCGGUGAAAUGCGCAGAUAUCAGGAGGAACACCGGUGGCGAAGGCGGGUCUCUGGGCCGAUACUGACACUGAGGAGCGAAAGCGUGGGGAGCGAACAGG
rnacentral:rRNA from 1 species